rnacentral:lncRNA from 1 species
CCCUAGAAAAAGAUAUUUUUAAGGCAUGAGUAGAAAAUAGCCUAAAUCAAGUGACUUUACAACAGUUUCCUUUAUUUAGUUACUACAACUUCCUGAGUGUUGGCCUGCCCUCCCUUUGCUUUGACUUCUAGGAACAUUGACCCAGUAGAAAAGUUCUGAUGAAGAAAAUUCCACAAGUGACUACACUGAACAUUUUUGAGGUGGAUCAAGUGGCAAACAACAUUGAAGCUGCCUGGUCUCUAAAGUUAUCAUCAACACAGAGGGCAUUAGAAGAAAAAGGGGCAUGCUUUUCUGAUGACUUUAUUUUAUAGGUGGGUGAUCUCAUACAUUCCUCUAGAAAGGAAGCACUCCAAGGAAGGGCAAGCCCUUCUUAUCAACUGGGCCCAGAUAAAGUAUGUAAUUAUUCCUACAAGAUCACCUGCAUGUGUCUUAGGACGCUGCCUAUUUUUCAAUCGGAAUAAAUCCUCAGAAAUCUUGUGGAAAAAAAAAAAAAAGAAAUCUUGUGGAAAAUUCCUCCAACACAAAAGAACAUUCAACUCACUCCUCUGCUAUAACGAGGUUGAAGUAUUUUCAAUGUUGUUGGAAGGUUCAAGCCACUUCUAAACAGCAGGGAUUUCUGCUACAGUUGUUGUAAAGAAUGCAGGACCCCAGUGGGCACAGAGCAGUAAGCUUCAUAAAGCCCAAGACUUAGGGAGAACACAAUGCCAGUGGAACAUCCAGAGAGAGAGAGCAAAGAGAGCAUGGCAUUGGCUUAGUUUCACCCAGCCUCUUCAUCUUGCCAAACCCUUCAGAUAACAGAGCAUGCAUAUUUAAAUUCAAAAGGGCUUUUAUGAUUAUUUAAUAAAAUGGGGAUGAAGUAAGCA